AACGAACGCUGGCGGCAGGCCUAACACAUGCAAGUCGAGCGAACCCUUCGGGGUUAGCGGCGGACGGGUUAGUAACGCGUGGGAAUAUACCCUUUGGUACGGAAUAGCCUCGGGAAACUGAGAGUAAUACCGUAUGUGCCCUUCGGGGAAAGAUUAUCGCCAAAGGAUUAGCCCGCGUUGGAUUAGAUAGUUGGUGGGGUAAUGGCCUACCAAGUCUACGAUCCAUAGCUGGUUUGAGAGGAUGAUCAGCAACACUGGGACUGAGACACGGCCCAGACUCCUACGGGAGGCAGCAGUGGGGAAUCUUAGACAAUGGGCGCAAGCCUGAUCUAGCCAUGCCGCGUGGACGAUGAAGGCCUUAGGGUUGUAAAGUCCUUUCAGAUGGGAAGAUAAUGACGGUACCAUCAGAAGAAGCCCGGCUAACUCCGUGCCAGCAGCCGCG
rnacentral:rRNA from 1 species